UGCCAUUUUCGAUUUCAGGGUUUCACAAAAUCAAAACUUUUGUCCGCCUCCAUUUAAUUUAGCGGGAUCCAUCAGUGAAAUUUUUUAUUAUCCCGCUUCUCUCUAUCUCCCUCCCUGAUUCGUUUUCCCUCUUCUCUCUCACUGUUUCCUACUCGCACCUCCCCCUUACACCCCCUCUCGUCUUCGUUUUCAUCGUCGGAGUUCCAUCUUACCGCCGAUGCUUUCCGUUCAUCACCGAUUCAUCGUCGCCCUUUUUAGCUCCAGUCGUCUGCUUGUCGUCGCCGUCAUCGGCUUGCCAUCGCCAUUGUCAUCAUUUUUUCAAGGUGUGUUUUGAUUUUGGGUUCCGUUAGAUGCCUUCUUCAAACUGUUGAUGCCUUCUUCAAACUCCUCUGCUCCAUGUGUUAUUGAGGCGACCAAGGUUAUUACUCCAUGGCUCAGCUGCCCUCCUCUCUCUAUUUGCACCUUUGCUCGAUUUCUUCCAUAAAAAGGUUCGGAAAGCUGGUGAUCCAGGUAAUCACAAUUCUGCAAUCUUCCCACGGGUAAGGAGGUCAAUAUGACUUUUCAGUUUAUUGAGAAUCAAAUCAAUCAAUUUUGAGUAAAUAUUCAACUUUUUUUAUGAGUUUCAGUGAUUAUCCUACUGUGGCUUCUACAUGAGAAUGGAGUUUUUGAUCUUGUGUAUGACAGGUCCGUCAACAGUAAUUUUUAGAAUUGAACUUUUGCUCAUUGACUUCAGGUUUAGCAGUUGGAAAUCAACUUGGUUUGAUCUGUGUAUAUAACCUCAAUUCCAGUUCAAAAGAUACAAUCCUACACAUUGUCACAACAAUAAAACAAGAAGGUACCUUUUGUGUUAGGUAUAUGUUUUUUAAUAUGUUUCUUUAUUUUCAUAAUGUUUAAACUAUUUUCAAUUUACUAACAAGCUGAAAAUGGUGAGCCCAAGUCUAGUUUGUGUUUCCACUUUCUUGAUUCCCCUGUUGAAGCACUUCAAUAUAUGGACCAUGGAGCUACGCUAGCUCUUUUUGAACAAUUGAAUUUGUAAACUUUUGAUAUUGUUUGUUUUGUUAAUUAGCAUUUACUUUUGUAA